rnacentral:rRNA from 1 species
CCUACGGGAGGCAGCAGUGGGGAAUAUUGCACAAUGGGGGAAACCCUGAUGCAGCGACGCCGCGUGAGCGAUGAAGUAUUUCGGUAUGUAAAGCUCUAUCAGCAGGGAAGAAAAUGACGGUACCUGACUAAGAAGCCCCGGCUAACUACGUGCCAGCAGCCGCGGUAAUACGUAGGGGGCAAGCGUUAUCCGGAUUUACUGGGUGUAAAGGGAGCGUAGACGGCGAUGCAAGCCAGAUGUGAAAGCCCGGGGCUCAACCCCGGGACUGCAUUUGGAACUGUUUAGCUGGAGUGUCGGAGAGGGAGGUGGAAGUGUUGGGGUAGGGGGGAAAUGCGUAGAGAUUAAGAGGAAUACGCGUGGCGAAGG